ensembl:miRNA
CUGCCGGAUGAAGUACAGGAUGCCCAAUGAAUUAAAUCCAUCUAAAUACAUUUCACUGGGCAUCCUCUGCUUUAUUGGGCUGCC